UUUAUGGAGAGUUUGAUCCUGGCUCAGGAUGAACGCUGGCGGCGUGCCUAAUACAUGCAAGUCGAGCGAACAGACAAGGAGCUUGCUCCUUUGACGUUAGCGGCGGACGGGUGAGUAACACGUGGGUAACCUACCUAUAAGACUGGGAUAACUUCGGGAAACCGGAGCUAAUACCGGAUAAUAUUUCGAACCGCAUGGUUCGAUAGUGAAAGAUGGUUUUGCUAUCACUUAUAGAUGGACCCGCGCCGUAUUAGCUAGUUGGUAAGGUAACGGCUUACCAAGGCGACGAUACGUAGCCGACCUGAGAGGGUGAUCGGCCACACUGGAACUGAGACACGGUCCAGACUCCUACGGGAGGCAGCAGUAGGGAAUCUUCCGCAAUGGGCGAAAGCCUGACGGAGCAACGCCGCGUGAGUGAUGAAGGUCUUCGGAUCGUAAAACUCUGUUAUUAGGGAAGAACAUACAUGUAAGUAACUAUGCACGUCUUGACGGUACCUAAUCAGAAAGCCACGGCUAACUACGUGCCAGCAGCCGCGGUAAUACGUAGGUGGCAAGCGUUAUCCGGAAUUAUUGGGCGUAAAGCGCGCGUAGGCGGUUUUUUAAGUCUGAUGUGAAAGCCCACGGCUCAACCGUGGAGGGUCAUUGGAAACUGGAAAACUUGAGUGCAGAAGAGGAAAGUGGAAUUCCAUGUGUAGCGGUGAAAUGCGCAGAGAUAUGGAGGAACACCAGUGGCGAAGGCGACUUUCUGGUCUGUAACUGACGCUGAUGUGCGAAAGCGUGGGGAUCAAACAGGAUUAGAUACCCUGGUAGUCCACGCCGUAAACGAUGAGUGCUAAGUGUUAGGGGGUUUCCGCCCCUUAGUGCUGCAGCUAACGCAUUAAGCACUCCGCCUGGGGAGUACGACCGCAAGGUUGAAACUCAAAGGAAUUGACGGGGACCCGCACAAGCGGUGGAGCAUGUGGUUUAAUUCGAAGCAACGCGAAGAACCUUACCAAAUCUUGACAUCCUUUGACAACUCUAGAGAUAGAGCCUUCCCCUUCGGGGGACAAAGUGACAGGUGGUGCAUGGUUGUCGUCAGCUCGUGUCGUGAGAUGUUGGGUUAAGUCCCGCAACGAGCGCAACCCUUAAGCUUAGUUGCCAUCAUUAAGUUGGGCACUCUAAGUUGACUGCCGGUGACAAACCGGAGGAAGGUGGGGAUGACGUCAAAUCAUCAUGCCCCUUAUGAUUUGGGCUACACGUGCUACAAUGGACAAUACAAAGGGCAGCGAAACCGCGAGGUCAAGCAAAUCCCAUAAAGUUGUUCUCAGUUCGGAUUGUAGUCUGCAACUCGACUACAUGAAGCUGGAAUCGCUAGUAAUCGUAGAUCAGCAUGCUACGGUGAAUACGUUCCCGGGUCUUGUACACACCGCCCGUCACACCACGAGAGUUUGUAACACCCGAAGCCGGUGGAGUAACCAUUUGGAGCUAGCCGUCGAAGGUGGGACAAAUGAUUGGGGUGAAGUCGUAACAAGGUAGCCGUAUCGGAAGGUGCGGCUGGAUCACCUCCUUUCU
rnacentral:rRNA from 1 species